rnacentral:rRNA from 1 species
UUGAACGGAGAGUUUGAUCCUGGCUCAGGAUGAACGCUGGCGGCGUGCUUAACACAUGCAAGUCGAACGAUGAUCCGGUGCUUGCGCCGGGGAUUAGUGGCGAACGGGUGAGUAACACGUGAGUAACCUGCCCUUGACUCUGGGAUAAGCCUGGGAAACUGGGUCUAAUACCGGAUAUGACUCCUCAUCGCAUGGUGGGGGGUG